UACAGAUAGACCAGCAAGAGAGCAAUGGAAAUUAAAGACAUUUGAAACCCCUUAUCUUUAUGUAUAACAUACUUGAUUUUUAUGUGACUCAGCUUUCUACAGAAAAGAUGUUAUACGAGGACGUCUGCUGGUUUGGGUGAAACAUUUGGGUGUUACAGCAGUGGCUACCCACUAAUUACUUGUGUGAUAUAAACACAGAUCCACAACAGUGGUUCCCAAAAUCUGCUCUGGUUGGGGCAAGCCAUGUAUGCAGGCAGUGCAGUCAGAGGCAGGGAACUGGGGGCAGGAUGAGAGAUGGCAUCUGCAAUGAAUCAAAAGGGUUUGGGCAGUGCAGAAAAAGACCAAAAGGGAGAAGAAAAGGCUAAAAAUUGACAGAAGACAACACGUAAUAAAUUGAGAGUAAAUCCCAUAGAAAACUUGAUAUUCCCAGGAAGGAGCUGGCGAGCCCAGAACUUAAAUCUCAUCCAUAUACAACCAAGAAGGUUUAAUGUGCUCUGCCCUCUGAAAUGAUGGAGAAGAUGAUUUAAAAGAUCUCCCACUGCUUGAGAGCCUCCUCUGAUUUCUCUGUGAUGCUGAGGCAAUGUGAAACAAUUAAUCACAAAAAGGAGGUGGGGGUAGGAAGCAAAUAGAUGCCACAAUAAAUGCAGUGAGGCGACAGAACCAACAUUAACCAUAAACAAGUAGAAACAGUGCUCAUAGCUACAAAUAAUCAUCUGUUUUUUUCUUUCCCUUCAACAGAAAAUACAAAAGAAAUUUGAAUGCUCUUUCAGAAGAGAAGGCCUGGAAAAAAAAUACUGAGGAAGUGCAGAAUUGCCACCAUAGCUACAAAAUUUCAUUUGGAGGUGCCUGAGGUCAUCCCUAUGUUCUUGCUGGGAAUCACCAGCUGGUAAGAAGCAGGUGGGUGUAGUUGCACAUGCAAAAAAGGAAGAGCGUUUAUAUUUGGGUAGGGUGAUGGCAGCUCAGAACUAAGGGUGCAUAGGGGAUAUGCAUACACCUGUAGGGUUUCACAGAGUUUCUCACAAAGCCUGCAGCUUCCCAGGGCCAGCUGAUUCAUCAGACCAUUCAGUGUGCACUGAAAACAUGUUUUGCCAGCAUGAGAAAAGCGUGUAAGCAUCAGAAAUGCUGAGUAAGGUGCGAAAAUCUUUCUGAGGUUGAAAUACUUUCAUUAACAUAUUGUGCAAAUCUGAAGCGUGACCCUCUGAGGUCUGGAUUUGUCCAUUUCUUUCACUUCUUUUAAUUUGGUGGUAGAAGUGGCAUCACAGGGAGGCAAACUGCAAAACAUGGCACUUGGCUGAAGUGCCAGGGAUGACACCUGGAAAGAUCAGAUAUAUAAACAGGAUUUGCUCUUGUGUCACCCUGCCUGGUGCC
rnacentral:lncRNA from 1 species